rnacentral:rRNA from 1 species
CCUACGGGUGGCAGCAGUGAGGAAUAUUGGUCAAUGGGCGCGAGCCUGAACCAGCCAAGUAGCGUGAAGGAUGACUGCCCUACGGGUUGUAAACUUCUUUUGUAAAGGAAUAAAGGCAGGCACUUGUGCCUUGUUGUAUGUACUUGAUGAAUAAGGAUCGGCUAACUCCGUGCCAGCAGCCGCGGUAAUACGGAGGAUCCGAGCGUUAUCCGGAUUUAUUGGGUUUAAAGGGUGCGUGGAUGGGUUGUUAAGUCAGUGGUUAAAGUUUGGGGCUCAACCGUAAAAUUGCAAUUGAUAUUGGCAGCCGUGAUUACAGUGGAGUACGCCGGAAUCCGUGGGGAGGCGGGGAA